rnacentral:rRNA from 1 species
UACAGAGGUCUCAAGCGUUGUUCGGAUUCAUUGGGCGUAAAGGGUGCGUAGGUGGCGCGCUAAGUCAGGUGUGAAAUCUCGGGGCUUAACCCCGAAACUGCAUUUGAUACUGGCGUGCUUGAGGACUGGAGAGGAGACUGGAAUUCACGGUGUAGCAGUGAAAUGCGUAGAUAUCGUGAGGAAGACCAGUGGCGAAGGCGGGUCUCUGGACAGUUCCUGACACUGAGGCACGAAGGCCAGGGGAG